UACAGAGGUGGCAAGCGUUGUUCGGAAUUACUGGGCGUAAAGGGCGCGUAGGCGGUCUUCUAAGUCUUGUGUGAAAUCCCUCGGCUCAACUGAGGAACUGCGCGGGAUACUGGAAGACUUGAGUUCGGGAGAGGGAAGCGGAAUUCCGGGUGUAGCGGUGAAAUGCGUAGAUAUCCGGAGGAACACCGGUGGCGAAGGCGGCUUCCUGGACCGAUUACUGACGCUGAGGCGCGAAAGCUAGGGGAGCAAACGGG
rnacentral:rRNA from 1 species